CCGCCCUGGCCUCCCAGCAGCAGUGCAGCCCAUCUGGCCCCAAGCCCGUCCCAGCUGGGCCGCCUGAGGCCCCGGUCGCCUGGGGCCCUCACAGCCCAGCAGCGGUCUGAGACUAGGGCAGGAGCGCCAGGCGUCGGGCACCUACCUAUGCCACCACCUCGGCUAGCUGCUGGGCUCAUCCUGAUGGGUCAGAAGUCAUACUAGAAGCCCUCCAGGACCCCACUCCCUACCCUACCCCUGCCCCCCUACCACCCCAAAUGUCCACCCAGUGCAGCAGGAGGCAGCAUCUCAGGAUGAGAGGUCGGCUGUUUGGAGCCAGCCACUCUGGUUGCAAAUCCCCAGGCUCCGGACAAGUGGGGACCACACCGCCUGCUGUAACCUCGUAAGGCUGGAGAAGUCUGAAGCCAGAAAGGGCCUGAGCAUCUUCUGCGAGGAAUCCAUCCAGCCCGCCAGAGACAACCUGCAGUCAGUCCCCCACUCCCUUGAGUGUUAAGUGUUCACCCUAAGUGCAAGGUGGGGACAUGUGAGUGUAGGUGGAACAGACCCCAGGAGACCUGGGUCCAAGGACACACCAAUGUGGGGGACUUUGUUCAGCCUUAGAGCUCCCAUAAUCUCCUCCAGACCCCCAGGGCCACCCCCAGGUAAACAGCUUGAGGGAGAACCGUGUGGUGCUCACUGGCUUCAGGACAAAGCUAUACCACCACCCCUGUUCCGGCCCCCUCUCAACCAGUGGGUUCACAAGAUGGGAAUGUCCCAGCAGGCUCUUCCAGUGCUAGGACAGGGCCUUCCCCAGGCCCGCUUCUGGUCUCAUCUGAAUGAUUUGGUGUAAGGAACAGGGGAUGGUUCCUUCUCGGAUAGGUAAUCCAGGGUUCUAGAGGAUGAGACGACAGUGCUGUGAGCCUCCAGAAAUGAAUUCCUGCCUCUGGACAGGAAUCUGAAGAUAGAUCAGGCUCUCUCACUCUGCCUCCUUCUUGGGCUCUUCUCUGUCCCCUCUCCUGCUUCCUUCCUUCUCCUGCUCCCUGUCUCUCCCAGCCCCUGCUGAACUAGUUUCCCAGGCCUAUUAAUCAGGCCUGAUCUGACCUCAAGACCAAAGAGCCAAGAAGAGGAGGGAGGCAGGCAAGAAGAAAGGAGGGAAGAGGACAAUUCACCUGCCCAGAGACCUGGUCAGUGCUACUCACCUUUGCCUCUCUUGUCUCCUAGACCGCCCCCAGUCACCCUACAGGGCAGAACCUAUUUAUAGGGGAGCAAACUCAGUCUCCAAGAGCAUAGAUGUUCUGACUGGCACCACACAACUGAUAAGGAGCCAGUCUCCAGGCUCCUAGGUGGCUCCUAGUUGACAACUGGGAGCUUAAACUGACCCGGGAGGAAGAAGAGCAUCUCCUUGGUCCUAAGGCUCUCAGUCAUUCAGGGCUGAAGCCAGUCAGGGCAGGUGGGAGGGCUGGCCUAGCUAGUCCCUGUCCCAAAGAGGGCAGGUAGCCCGAGGCAAGUCACUUCACCUUUCUGAAGAUCCUUUUGUCCAGUUAAAAUCUGGCCAGGAGUGACCUUUGCCCUUGAGGGAAAAGUGAUAAGUGCCUUGGCUUGUAGCUAGACUUGAUUUCAAAUUCUGGUUCUGCCUGUCCCUAGUUGAGUAGCUAGACACAAGUCACUUCUCACUGCUGUGAAAUGGGAGUGAUCAGGCCAUCCACAUGGGGUUUUGCUGAAGAUUGGGCCCCUUAGACGGCUCCACAGCUGGUGCUCAAGGGGUGGAAAGAAAUGCAAUGAGAAAGCCUAGUGACCAUCAGCUGUGGGACCAGGCAAGUGGCUCCCCCCUACCCUGCCCCCACAAUGCCAAAGCACUCUUGGGCCUGGGAGGGCAGACUAGAGACUCGUGUCUGACCUUUUACCCUCUCGGAUCCCCAGAGAGCACACCCUCACUCCAUCCUACCAUCCUGGCCCUUACAUACCCAUCCUGCUCCAUUCUUCCCUGGCCGACUCAGGGCUCUUUUCCCACCCCACCCCCAGUACAAAAGGGACAUUUGACAUUCUUUGUUCUGUGCAAGCUCAUUCUCUGAGUGUGGGAUCCACCAGGCCUCGCAGCUGGGACCUGCCACCUUCCCCCCCAGGCCUGGCCCAGCUCUGCCAGAGCUUUGUGCGGGAGGAGAGGGAGGGAGGGGCCGCAGAGGAGAGUCCCAACCCCCACCAUCAGAAUUGGCAGGAAGGAAACCUGGUGGGGGAGGGUGCUGGAGACGUUCUAAGAGGACUGCACUCACAGGACUUGUUUGAGAUUGGGGUAGGGGCUAACUUGAGGCUAAAACCUAUUUUUC